rnacentral:rRNA from 1 species
UACGUAGGGUGCGAGCGUUAAUCGGAAUUACUGGGCGUAAAGCGUGCGCAGGCGGUUUCGUAAGACAGACGUGAAAUCCCCGGGCUUAACCUGGGAACUGCGUUUGUGACUGCAAGGCUAGAGUAUGGCAGAGGGGGGUAGAAUUCCACGUGUAGCAGCGAAAUGCGUAGAGAUGUGGAGGAAUACCGAUGGCGAAGGCAGCCCCCUGGGUCAAUACUGACGCUCAUGCACGAAAGCGU